rnacentral:misc_RNA from 1 species
GUAGGUGAACCUGCGGAAGGAUCAUUAUAGAUUUUAAGGUUGAUGGCUGAGGGGUAGGGUGCUGUGAGCAAAUGCGUAAGCAUUAUGCGUGCAGCAUUCUACUUUUCUUUCACAACAAAACAUGUUCGAUGUUAGGUUAGAGAUUGUGGUGGUAUCAUGAUAGUGAUAUUGUGAUACUAUUAUAAUUCCGCAUAACAUUGCUACACUUGCUUAUUCUUGUUUGUCAAAGUAAAACUACCAAUAUAUUAUA